rnacentral:rRNA from 1 species
UCCGUAGGCGGGCGUCUAAGUCAGUGGUGAAAUCUUACAGCUCAACUGUAAAAUUGCCAUUGAUACUGGAUGUUUUGAAUUAGUGUGAAGUGGUUAGAAUGUGUAGUGUAGCGGUGAAAUGCAUAGAUAUUACACAGAAUACCAAUUGCGAAGGCAGAUCACUAACACUAUAUUGACGCUGAGGGACGAAAGCGUGGGGAGCGAACAGGAUUAGAUACCCUGGUAGUCC